CGUGAGUGAAGAAGGCCUUCGGGUUGUAAAGCUCUUUCGGCCGGGAAGAAAUCGCGUGAGUUAAAUACCUUGCGUGGAUGACGGUACCGGAAUAAGAAGCACCGGCUAACUACGUGCCAGCAGCCGCGGUAAUACGUAGGGUGCGAGCGUUAAUCGGAAUUACUGGGCGUAAAGCGUGCGCAGGCGGUUUUUUAAGACAGGCGUGAAAUCCCCGGGCUUAACCUGGGAACUGCGCUUGUGACUGGAAGACUAGAGUAUGGCAGAGGGGGGUGGAAUUCCACGUGUAGCAGUGAAAUGCGUAGAGAUGUGGAGGAACACCGAUGGCGAAGGCAGCCCCCUGGGCCAAUACUGACGCUCAUGAACGAAAGCGUGGGGAGCAAACAGGAUUAUAUACCCUGGUAGUCCACGCCCUAAACGAUGUCAACUAGGUGUUGGGUGGGUAAAACCAUUUAGUACCGUAGCUAACGCGUGAAGUUGACCGCCUGGGGAGUACGGCCGCAAGGUUAAAACUCAAAGGAAUUGACGGG
rnacentral:rRNA from 1 species